rnacentral:rRNA from 1 species
UGGCAGUCACGGGUAACGGAGAAUUAGGGUUCGAUUCCGGAGAGGGAGCCUGAGAAACGGCUACCACAACUAAGGAAGGCAGCAGGCGCGUAAAUUACCCAAUCCUGAUUCAGGGAGGUAGUGACAAGAAAUAACAACCUGGGGAGCUCAUGCUCUUACGGGAUUGCAAUGAGAACAAUUUAAACGACUUAACGAGGAACAAUUAGAGGGCAAGUCUGGUGCCAGCAGCCGCGGUAACUCCAGCUCUAAUAGUGUAUAUUAAAGUUGUUGCAGUUAAAAAGCUCGUAGUUGAACUUCUGGCUGCGGCUAGCGUCGGCUUCGGUCAUGCUAGUCGUGGUCAUCCGUCUGUGAACUAUAUUCAUCCUUCACCGGUUGGUAUAGGGAAUAGACAUUUUACCUUGAAAAAAUUAGAGUGUUUCAGGCAGGCCUUUGCCGGAAUACAUUAGCAUGGAAUAAUGGAAUAGGACUCGUCCAUUUUGUUGGUUAUUGGUUACGAGUAAUGAUUAAUAGGGACAGUUGGGGGCAUUAGUAUUUAAUUGUCAGAGGUGAAAUUCUUGGAUUUAUUAAAGACUAACUUAUGCGAAAGCAUUUGCCAAGGA